rnacentral:rRNA from 1 species
GAAAAGGAUUUAUUCGCUUCAGGAUGGACUCGCGUCCAAUUAGCUAGUUGGUGAGGUAACGGCCCACCAAGGCGACGAUUGGUAGCCGGACUGAGAGGUUGAACGGCCACAUUGGGACUGAGACACGGCCCAGACUCCUACGGGAGGCAGCAGUGGGGGAUAUUGCACAAUGGGGGAAACCCUGAUGCAGCGACGCCGCGUGGAGGAAGAAGGUUUUCGGAUUGUAAACUCCUGUCGUUAGGGACGAUAAUGACGGUACCUAACAAGAAAGCACCGGCUAACUACGUGCCAGCAGCCGCGGUAAAACGUAGGGUGCAAGCGUUGUCCGGAAUUACUGGGUGUAAAGGGAGCGCAGGCGGACCGGCAAGUUGGAAGUGAAAACUAUGGGCUCAACCCAUAAAUUGCUUUCAAAACUGCUGGCCUUGAGUAGUGCAGAGGUAGGUGGAAUUCCCGGUGUAGCGGUGGAAUGCGUAGAUAUCGGGAGGAACACCAGUGGCGAAGGCGACCUACUGGGCAUCAACUGACGCUGAGGCUCGAAAGCAUGGGUAGCAAACAGGAUUAGAUACCCUGGUAGUCCAUGCCGUAAACGAUGAUUACUAGGUGUUGGAGGAUUGACCCCUUCAGUGCC